AUCGCUUCGAGGCCUAUGGCUAAGAUCAAAGUGUAGUAUCUGUUCUUAUCAGCUUGAUAUCUGAUACGCUCUCCAUUGGAGAGUCAGAAUAUCGAAUUGAUUUUUUAAAACCGGCGAAGAUUUUUUGGGGCUUGCUCCAGCUUUGUCAUGGGUUAACUCUGCCUUGCAUUACCGCAGAGAUUGGCCUAACAAAU